rnacentral:rRNA from 1 species
GACGAACGUCCGAACGUUAUUCGGUAUCACUGGGCUUAAAGAGUUGUAGGCGCCUAGUAGGUGAGAUGUGAAAUCCCACGGCUCAACCGUGGAACUGCGUUUCAAACCACUAGGCUUGAGGGAGAUAGAGGUGAGUGGAACAGAUGGUGGAGCGGUGAAAUGCGUUGAUAUCAAUCUGGAACACGGUGGCGAAAGCGGCUCACUGGAUCUCUUCUGACGCUGAGGAAACGAAAGCUAGGGUAGCGAACGGGAUUAGAUACCCCGUAG